AAAAAGUUUUAAUUUGGUUUAUUAAAUUAAUUUAUAGAAUUAUUAUAUGUAAAUUUUUGUAUAAAAUUUUAAAUAAUAUUUAAGCAGUGAUUAAAUUUAAAAAUAUAAGAAAUUAUGAUUUAGGUAUUUAUAUCAGUAUUAACAAAAUUUGUGCCAGCAGUUGCGGUUAUACAAAUAAUGCAAUUAAUUUAUAUUAGUUAAUAAUAAGUUAUUUAUAAAAAUAAUAUAAUAUUAAUUUUUUUAGGUGAAAUUUAAAAUUUUUAAAAAAUUAUUUAAAAAUUUAUGAUUUAUGAAAUUUUUAAUUAAACUAGGAUUAGAUACCCUAUUAUUUAAAAUUUAAAUAAAUUACUAAGUAAGUUAUAGUUAUGGUCUUAAAAGUUAAAAAUUUUGGCGGUAUUUUAGUCUAUUUAGAGGAACCUGUUUAGUAAUUGAUAAUCCACAAUUUAUUUUACUUAUUUUAAAUAGUUUGUAUAUCGUCGUUAAUGAAUAUUUUAUAAGAAUAUAAAUGUUCAGAAAUUAAAAUUUUAAAAAAAGUCAGAUCAAGGUGCAGCUUAUAAAUAAGAAUAAAUGGGUUACAAUAAAGAUAUUUAUGGAUAAUUAAUUAAAAAUUAAUUUGAAAAUGGAUUUAAUAGUAAUAAAAUUUAAUUUAAUUUUAUGAUUUUAGCUCUAAAAUAUGUACAUAUUGCCCGUCACUCUCAUAUAAAAUGAGAUAAGUCGUAACAAAGUAGAUGUACUGGAAAGUGUAUCUAGAAAGGC
rnacentral:ncRNA from 1 species